UACAGUCUCUCUACGAACUUCUUGACUGUCCUAGCACUCACCAUGUGCAGACCAGCCGUGGCCUGCAACUCACAGAUAGCCACUUUCCCCUGGCUUCCAUGUGCAGGGAUUAAAGUUGUGCAUCCCAAUCAGCUAAUAAACAGUUUGAAAAAUAUUCAAUGUCCUUGGCUAUGAAGGAAACACAGAUUAAAACUACUUCAGGAUUCCAUCUCACUCCAGGCAGAAUGGCUAUGAUCAGGAAUACAAGUGACAAGCAAUAGUGAUGUGGAUUUACGGAAAAGAACACUCUUAUGCGCUGUGGGUGGAGGCAUAAACUAGUACAGACACUAUGAAAUCAGGCUGGACUCACGAACGUCCCCCACAGGCUCCCAUAGUUGAACACUUGGUCCCCAUUUGGUGACACUGUGUAGGGAAACUGUAAAAGGUAGAACCUUGUUGGUGGAUGUACGUAACAAAGGAUGAACUUUGAGCACGAAUGGCCUUGCUUCACUUCCAGCUCAUCCUCUCUGCUUUAUUUUUGCUUUUGAAGAUAAAACUGUAAGUCAAUAUAAAUUCUUUCAUAAGCUGUUAUUAGUCAGAGUAGCUUCCCAGAGCUAGUGAGGUCAUGGACCUUAGAAAAGAAUCUACCAGCACAACUUUUCUAGACUAGCAUAAUUCCUUUCUACACUUGAAAUCUUAUCCUUAUAUCCACAGAUAAGUGAAGCUACUAUCCCUCAUCUCAGACUCUUCCCUUUACAAAAAAUGUGGAGACCAUCACAGGAAACCACAACUGGACACAAUGCGGAAAUAAACCAGUGGGUCAUGGGGAGACCAGUACCAACGGAUACAUCUACAUCACAGCUGUGUCUCUGAACAGACUGGAUACAUUUGGAAUCACCUGAGAGCCACACCUCUGGGUGUGUAUGUGUGAGGCUGUCUCCAGAGAGGGUAAACUGAGCAGGGGAGACCCACCCUGAGUCUGGGCAGCACCUUCUCAUGAGAUGGGGUUCCUGACUGCUUCAAAAUUGAAGUGGAUGCUGAGCACCAGGAUUCAUCUGCUUUCUGACCAAAGAGACAAUGUGAUCAACCACUUGAGACACCUGCACCACUCCUUCCCCAUCAGGAUGGACUGAACUCUUAAACAGGAGCCCAAAUAAAUAUACCAUCCUCACUCAAGUUCCUUUCUCAGAUAUUUGGUCAAAGAAUUGAGGAAAGUCACCAACAGCCCUCCAUAUUGAUUCCCAUGGCAGCUGCACCAGUUCCCAUUCUGACCAGCAGAGUAUAAGAGCUCUCUUCCACCUCCUCCCUGGAAGCUUUUGUUUCCUUAAUAUGACAGUUCUGACUAUGAUGAGAUAGUAUCACCACACAAUUUUAAUUUGUAUUUUCGAGUGGAUUGUGGUAUUCACCCUUUUUUCAAAUGUUUAUGGAGUUUCUGUAAAUUAUAGUUGUAUUUCUUCAAUUCACUUGUCCAUUUAUUAAUUGGAAGAUUUUUUUGAUAUUCAAGUUUUGAAAUUCAUUACAGAGCCUAGAUAUUAAUCUAUGGACUGAUCUUCUCCCAUUUGCCAGGCUGUCUCUUUAUGCUGGGGAUUGCUUCCUUGCUAUUGGAGCAUGAUUCUUAAUUUUUGGAGGCCUAUUUGUUGAGUUCUUGGAAUAUAUUGUGUACUGGAUUUCUUCUCAGAAUGUUCUUGCAUAUGCCCAUAUAUUGAGCUGUUUUCUGUAGCUUUUUCUCUAGUGGUUUCAGGUCUCACCUUAGGGUCUUUGUCUAAUUUGAACUGCACUUUUGGUUGGAGGAGAGAUGAGAAUCUAAUUUCAUCCUCUAUGUGUGAAUAUCCAGAACUACUUACUCAAAAAAUAUCAUUUUCCCCAAUGUAUGUUUUUGGCAUCUUUGUCAAAAGUAUGUUUUGGCCUGGAAGGAUGGCUCAAUGGUUAGGAGAACUUUCUGCACUGACAUAGGAUACAGGUUUGCUUCCCAGUAUCCAAUCUGUCAACUCACAACCACCAGUAAGUAGCUCUAGCUCCAGGGGAUCCAAAGUCCUCUUCUGUCCUCCAAGGGCACUCCCAUUCACUGCCAUACACCUGGACACAGACAUAUAAAUAAAAAACAAAAAUCUUGUUACAGACCAA